rnacentral:rRNA from 1 species
AUUGAACGCUGGCGGCAUGCCUUACACAUGCAAGUCGAACGGCAGCGCGUCCUUGGAUGGCGGCGAGUGGCGAACGGGUGGAGUAAUACAUCGGAACGUGCCCAGACGUGGGGGAGUAACUGCUCGAAAGAGCAGCUAAUACCGCAUGAGAUCUGAGGAUGAAAGCGGGGGACCUUAGGGCCUCGCGCGUUUGGAGCGGCUGAUGGCAGAUUAGGUAGUUGGUGGGUAAGAGCCUACCAAGCCUGCGAUCUGUAGCUGGUCUGAGAGGACGAUCAGCCACACUGGGACUGAGACACGGCCCAGACUCCUACGGGAGGCAGCAGUGGGGAAUUUUGGACAAUGGGCGCAAGCCUGAUCCAGCAAUGCCGCGUGCAGGACGAAGGCCUUCGGUUGGUAAACUGCUUUUGUUACGGAACGAAAAGACCUUCUUCUAAUACUAGGAGGGUGAGUGACGGUACCGUAAGAAUAAGACACCGGCUAACUACCGU